rnacentral:rRNA from 1 species
CAGGUACUGGAGGACCGAACCCACUAGUGUUGCAAAACUAGGGGAUGAGCUGUGGAUAGGGGUGAAAGGCUAAACAAACUUGGAAAUAGCUGGUUCUCUCCGAAAACUAUUUAGGUAGUGCCUCACGUAUCACUCUCGGGGGUAGAGCACUGUCAUGGCUAGGGGGUCAUCGCGACUUACCAAACCAUAGCAAACUCCGAAUACCGAGAAGUGCGAGCGUGGGAGACAGACAUCGGGUGCUAACGUCCGGUGUCAAGAGGGAAACAACCCAGACCGCCAGCUAAGGUCCCAAAUGACGUGCUAAGUGGUAAACGAAGUGGGAAGGCAUAGACAGCCAGGAUGUUGGCUUAGAAGCAGCCAUCAUUUAAAGAAAGCGUAAUAGCUCACUGGUCGAGUCGUCCUGCGCGGAAGAUGUAACGGG